UACAGAGGUCUCAAGCGUUGUUCGGAUUCAUUGGGCGUAAAGGGCGCGCAGGCGGCCGAGCACGUCCGUUGUGAAAUCGCCUGGCUCAACUGGGCGGGGUCAGCGGAUACGGCUAGGCUGGAGCAAGCUAGGGGGCAAUGGAAUUCCCGGUGUAGUGGUGGAAUGCGUAGAUAUCGGGAGGAACACCAGUGGCGAAGGCGGUUGCCUGGAGCUUUGCUGACGCUGAGGCGCGAAAGCGAUGGGGAGC
rnacentral:rRNA from 1 species